rnacentral:rRNA from 1 species
AUGAACGCUGGCGGCGUGCCUAAUACAUGCAAGUCGAGCGAACAGACGAGGAGCUUGCUCCUCUGACGUUAGCGGCGGACGGGUGAGUAACACGUGGAUAACCUACCUAUAAGACUGGGAUAACUUCGGGAAACCGGAGCUAAUACCGGAUAAUAUAUUGAACCGCAUGGUUCAAUAGUGAAAGACGGUUUUGCUGUCACUUAUAGAUGGAUCCGCGCCGCAUUAGCUAGUUGGUAAGGUAACGGCUUACCAAGGCAACGAUGCGUAGCCGACCUGAGAGGGUGAUCGGCCACACUGGAACUGAGACACGGUCCAGACGCCUACGGGAGGCAGCAGUAGGGAAUCUUCCGCAAUGGGCGAAAGCCCGACGGAGCAACGCCGCGUGAGUGAUGAAGGUCUUCGGAUCGUAAAACUCUGUUAUUAGGGAAGAACAAAUGUGUAAGUAACGAUGCACGUCUUGACGGUACCUAAGCAGAAAGCCACGGCUAACUACGU